rnacentral:rRNA from 1 species
CCUACGGGAGGCAGCAGUAGGGAAUAUUGCUCAAUGGGGGAAACCCUGAAGCAGCAACGCCGCGUGGAGGAUGAAGGUUUUAGGAUUGUAAACUCCUUUUUUGAGAGAAGAUAAUGACGGUAUCUCACGAAUAAGCACCGGCUAACUCCGUGCCAGCAGCCGCGGUAAUAUGGAGGGUGCAAGCGUUACUCGGAAUCACUGGGCGUAAAGAGUGCGCAGGCGGGCUUGUAAGUCAGAUGUGAAAUCCUGUAGCUUAACUACAGAACUGCAUUUGAAACUAUGAGUCUAGAGUGUGGGAGAGGUAGGUGGAAUUCUUGGUGUAGGGGUGAAAUGCGUAGAGAUCAGGAGGAAUACUCAUUGCGAAGGCGACCUACUGGAACAUUACUGACGCUGAUGCACGAAAGCCAGGGUAGCAAAUGGGAUUAGAUACCCCAGUAGUC